CAGCAGCCGCGGUAAUACGGAGGGUGCAAGCGUUAAUCGGAAUUACUGGGCGUAAAGCGCACGCAGGCGGUCUGACAAGUCAGAUGUGAAAUCCCCGGGCUUAACCUGGGAACUGCAUUUGAAACUGUCAGGCUGGAGUCUUGUAGAGGGGGGUAGAAUUCCAGGUGUAGCGGUGAAAUGCGUAGAGAUCUGGUGGAAUACCGGUGGCGAAGGCGGCCCCCUGGACAAAGACUGACGCUCAGGUGCGAAAGCGUGGGGAGCAAACAGGAUUAGAUACCCCUGUAGUCCCUGUCUCUUAUAC
rnacentral:rRNA from 1 species